rnacentral:rRNA from 1 species
GCAGCAACGCCGCGUGGGUGAUGAAGGCCUUCGGGUCGUAAAGCCCUGUCGGAAGGRNAGANUUCUUCCGCCACGAAUAAUGGCGGAAAGUGACGGUACCUUCAAAGGAAGCACCGGCUAACUCCGUGCCAGCAGCCGCGGUAAUACGGAGGGUGCUAGCGUUGUUCGGAAUCAUUGGGCGUAAAGGGCGUGUAGGCGGUCUACUAAGUCAUGUGUGANAGCCCCCGGCUUAACCGGGGAAUUGCGCAUGANACUGAUGGACUAGAGUACGGAAGAGGGAGGUGGAAUUCCAGGUGUAGCGGUGAAAUGCGUAGAUAUCUGGAGGAACACCGGUGGCGAAGGCGGCCUCCUGGUCCGAUACUGACGCUGAUACGCGAAAGCGUGGGGAGCAAACAGGAUUAGAUACCCUGGUAGUCCACGCUGUAAACGAUGGGCACUAGGUGUCCGGGGUAUUGACCCCCUGGGUGCCGCAGCUAACGCAUUAAGUGCCCCGCCUGGGGAGUACGGUCGCAAGAUUA